CUAGCAUCCAAAUACUGUAUAGUGUUAUAUUGUCACAGAUGACCAAUUGGUGCUAUGCGAUAUGUGUGGUUUAAUCUAGUGUGCAAGGUUUAGUUUAGACUGCGUGACCUCCCAAUAGGAGUUAUCACAGGAAGUCAUAUAUAAGUUGGGGGAUAAUGUAUGGAAAACAUGUAAAUAACUACUGUCACGCAGUGAUGUAAGCACA